rnacentral:rRNA from 1 species
AUACGGAGGGUGCAAGCGUUAAUCGGAAUUACUGGGCGUAAAGCGUACGUAGGCGGUUCGUUAAGUUAGAUGUGAAAGCCCCGGGCUUAGCCUGGGAACUGCAUUUAAAACUGGCGAACUAGAGUUGAGUAGAGGGGAGUGGAAUUUCAGGUGUAGCGGUGAAAUGCGUAGAGAUCUGAAGGAACACCAGUGGCGAAGGCGACUCCCUGGACUCGAACUGACGCUGAGGUACGAAAGCGUGGGUAGCAAACGGAAUUAGAAACCCUAGUAGUCC